rnacentral:rRNA from 1 species
UCCGGAGGGAGCUAGCGUUGUUCGGAAUUUCUGGGCGUAAAGCUCGCUUAGGCGGCUUUGUAAGUUAGAGGUGAAAGCCCGGGGCUCAACCCCGGAACUGCCUUUAAGACUGCAUCGCUUGAAUCCGGGAGAGGUGAGUGGAAUUCCGAGUGUAGAGGUGAAAUUCGUAGAUAUUCGGAAGAACACCAGUGGCGAAGGCGGCUCACUGGACCGGCAUUGACGCUGAUGUGCGAAAGCGUGGGGAGCAAACAGG